GAAGGUGGAAGUAACUUUUUGAAGAGUAAAUACUCCGGUGAGCACAUUCGGAUGUUGUACGAGCUAUUGUCAAUUGCGCUUAGGAUACCGAUACUGCUGGUCAGCUUUAUUAAGCUGUUGUACCAAAGCGUUACCAGUUGAGCGAAUUAAUUGACUGGUUUCAUCGUGUUAUGCGCAAAAAUGAAAAAUGGUGGGGAUACAGUCGUUAAGACAUGCGUUGCGAUCCUACCGUCUUAUUGAAAGCCAAGUUCACUGAGCUUAUCUGUCCUGAACAACCUAUUGGUGAGCUACAUACGGAACGUGUCGAUCGCGAAUGUAUUACCGAUGUCGUUCCCUCCGACAUACCGUGGUUGAAGAAUUUUGGUGUACAAUUGACCUCCAUGGAAGAGCAAGUACCAUGGGAAUUGUGACCAUAUCGUGCUGCGCAAUAUUAUGAUGCCGAAUUGGGAGAGUGGGGGAACCAGCUCCACCAAAACCGAUAGAACAUCGGGAAGAACUACGCAAAUAAUAAACAACGCUCAUCAAAUGAAAGUUGGCAGCGUUGGUGACCAAGCAGCGAUUUGAAAAGAAACAUUUGCAUCUACGCGAAUUACAAUUCGUCUUUACGUCUAGUGAAUUAUGGUCGAUUAUGAAUGGUGUGAAAGUUGAUAUUUAAACUUAAAAAAACAAAUAAAUGUAAUUUGGCUAAUAA